rnacentral:tRNA from 1 species
CAGCGCCCUGCUGGAAACGUUCGCCAUCGUCCGUGCCGUGGGCGGCCGCCGCGAUCUGGUCGAGGUUCUGUCGUGCGACGCCGCGGCGCGGA